GAAGAAAAAGUGUGGGAUUUCAAGGGAUUAAGCUAAUAAAGGUGGUGAGCCCUCUAACAACGGUAAAGAGAUUGUGCCCGAAGAUCGGGAAUAGAAGUAUAUCAAACUCCUAGUACUGCACGAGAUAGCUUGUGGAUAGCAAAUAUCGUCAAGGAUUAUAGUCGGCUUUACUACUUCAAAAACUGUAGGUUUACUGUCUUUGUGCACUUUUGUUCCUUGUGGGCCCACGAGUCACUGUAAAGUAAAUUU